GACGAACGCUGGCGGCGUGCUUAACACAUGCAAGUCGAACGGAAAGGCCCUGCUUUUGUGGGGUGCUCGAGUGGCGAACGGGUGAGUAACACGUGAGUAACCUGCCCUUGACUUUGGGAUAACUUCAGGAAACUGGGGCUAAUACCGGAUAGGAGCUCCUGCUGCAUGGUGGGGGUUGGAAAGUUUCGGCGGUUGGGGAUGGACUCGCGGCUUAUCAGCUUGUUGGUGGGGUAGUGGCUUACCAAGGCUUUGACGGGUAGCCGGCCUGAGAGGGUGACCGGCCACAGUGGGACUGAGAUACGGCCCAGACUCCUACGGGAGGCAGCAGUGGGGAAUAUUGCACAAGGGGCGGAAGCCUGAUGCAGCAACGCCGCGUGCGGGAUGACGGCCGUCGGGUUGUAAACCGCUUUCGCCUGUGACGAAGCGUGAGUGACGGUAAUGGGUAAAGAAGCACCGGCUAACUACGUG
rnacentral:rRNA from 1 species